UUGGUUUUCUCAGAAUAAAAAAGUUUUGCCUCGAUCGACCAUUGAUCGACCUCGAUCGAUUCUUUUGAUUUAAGUACCUACCUACUGAGUAUAGUUUUUUAGGGACGACUAAGAGGUUUUUGUCACAAGUAUUUUGCUAACUGGAACUGGAAGUAUAAAACACAAGUGGAUUCCCAGGUGGGGCUUUUUCUCGCUUACGUUGAUCAAGUGUGUACACGUGUCCAUAAACCAUGGGUAACAUGCUGACCGGUGUCUCGAUGGUGAUGUAUGGAGUGAUGUACCUCGAGAGGUGGCUGCAAGGCCUGCCCAACCCGCCGAAGCCCGACGACCCCAUCCCGACGGAACACAGCAGGCAUAUGCCACCACCGCCACCUAUGCAAGGAUAACGAAUCUGUACUUUUUUCAAGUAAAGUUUUGUGAGAAUUAUA